UGCUCAGAUUGAACGCUGGCGGCAGGCUAACACAUGCAAGUCGAGCGGAUGAAGGGAGCUUGCUCCUGGAUUCAGCGGCGGACGGGUGAGUAAUGCCUAGGAAUCUGCCUGGUAGUGGGGGAUAACGUCCGGAAACGGGCGCUAAUACCGCAUACGUCCUGAGGGAGAAAGUGGGGGAUCUUCGGACCUCACGCUAUCAGAUGAGCCUAGGUCGGAUUAGCUAGUUGGUGGGGUAAAGGCCUACCAAGGCGACGAUCCGUAACUGGUCUGAGAGGAUGAUCAGUCACACUGGAACUGAGACACGGUCCAGACUCCUACGGGAGGCAGCAGUGGGGAAUAUUGGACAAUGGGCGAAAGCCUGAUCCAGCCAUGCCGCGUGUGUGAAGAAGGUCUUCGGAUUGUAAAGCACUUUAAGUUGGGAGGAAGGGCAGUAAGUUAAUACCUUGCUGUUUUGACGUUACCAACAGAAUAAGCACCGGCUAACUUCGUGCCAGCAGCCGCGGUAAUACGAAGGGUGCAAGCGUUAAUCGGAAUUACUGGGCGUAAAGCGCGCGUAGGUGGUUCAGCAAGUUGGAUGUGAAAUCCCCGGGCUCAACCUGGGAACUGCAUCCAAAACUACUGAGCUAGAGUACGGUAGAGGGUGGUGGAAUUUCCUGUGUAGCGGUGAAAUGCGUAGAUAUAGGAAGGAACACCAGUGGCGAAGGCGACCACCUGGACUGAUACUGACACUGAGGUGCGAAAGCGUGGGGAGCAAACAGGAUUAGAUACCCUGGUAGUCCACGCCGUAAACGAUGUCGACUAGCCGUUGGGAUCCUUGAGAUCUUAGUGGCGCAGCUAACGCGAUAAGUCGACCGCCUG
rnacentral:rRNA from 1 species